rnacentral:miRNA from 1 species
GAACCAGGGCCACUGAACCU